rnacentral:tRNA from 1 species
GCCGCCUUAGCUCAGACGGUAGAGCAACGCACUCGUAAUGCGUAGGUCAGGGGUUCGAUUCCCCUAGGCGGCU